CCUACGGGUGGCAGCAGUGAGGAAUAUUGGUCAAUGGCCGAGAGGCUGAACCAGCCAAGUCGCGUGAGGGAAGACGGCCCUACGGUUUGUAAACCUCUUUUGUCGGGGAGCAAAGAGAACCACGUGUGGCUCAUUGAGAGUACCCGACGAAAAAGCAUCGGCUAACUCCGUGCCAGCAGCCGCGGUAAUACGGAGGAUGAGAGCGUUAUCCGGAUUUGUUGGGGUUAAGGGAUGCGCAGGCGGAGGUGCACGUCAGUGGUCAAAUUGCGGGGCUCAACCCCGUACUGCCGUUGAAACUGCAUCCCUUGAGUGCGCGAGAAGUAUGCGGAAUGCGUGGUGUAGCGGUGAAAUGCAUAGAUAUCACGCAGAACUCCGAUGGCGAAGGCAGCAUACCGGCGCGCAACUGACGCUCAUGCACGAAAGCGUGGGUAUCGAACAGGAUUAGAUACCCUUGUAGUC
rnacentral:rRNA from 1 species